GAGGAAACUGGGGCGCACCUUGGCUCGUUCAAGGUGUCCUCAGAUAUCAAGUGGCAGAGCUGAUGCUGGAGUCUCAGGCGAGAGCAGCACCCUUUGACCUUUUCAACUCUUACCCGCCUGAUUCUAGAGCCACCCGGAUUGGAAGCGGCUAAACGGCCUCCCACCCUUAAUCUCACUGUCUGAAUGAUAAAUCCUGCAGGACUUCUCCUUCCAUUCAAGCCCUUCACACUCUCCUUUGAGGAGCUGCUGCCUCCACCCCCCGACUUGUGUGACCCGAUGACCAAUUGGAGAUGCCACAAGGAACAAAACUCAGCGAGGCCAGAAGGUCGUUUGGUGCCCAAACUGCCACUCUAGGAAAUGUCUGCAAAUUCAUCCGUGUAAUGUAGUUGAUCAAUGAGGACAACAUGGUGGGUUUGCAUUCUCUCUCGCCCCAAGGAAGCUCAGAGGAACAAAAUGGUAACUGAUCACUUGGACUUUGUUGUCCAGUAAUCAUGAAAGACACAAAGGAUCCUGGUUCUUCUCCCUAUGAUGAGCUGCAAUCCCGAGGAUUUAUUGUGAGAUAAGGGGGCAGAUUCAAGGGUACAACAGUCUGUGGUCUUGAAAUAGGACAAAGGUAUUGGUUCCUUACAGGAAUGAAGCCAGUGAACUUAGACUUUAUUUAUUUAUUUAUUUAUUUUGUGGCAAGCCCACAUCAUGAGUAAGUGCCUGGGAUGGAACACAGUGAUGACAACACUAAAUCCUUAAUCUGCUGAGCCACCAGGAAACUCCUGACCUUGGUCUUAGCACCCCUCAUAUUCUGGUGAAUUUAUGGGCCACAGCCAGAGCUUUGGGGCUGCUGAAGAUGUAAUGCAGGAGGGCAACACAGGAGAGGUCAUGUGGGAAAGGAAGCUUGGUCACCAGUCAGAUUUGAGUAACUUUAGGGAGUCAUCACUUAUUAGCUAUUGGAAUAUGCAAAUAUGUAAAUCUCUGAGCCUAGGUUUCAUCAUCUACUUAAUGAGGAUGAUGACCUAAGGCAGAGGAUGGAGGAAGGAGGGUUAAGUGUGAUCAUGUAAAGUAUGCAGUCCCCUGCACGCAGUGAGUGAUUCCUCCAUGAAAGGUAGUAGAAGAGCUCCCUAGUGGCUCAACAGGUUAGGGACCUGACAUUGUCACUAGGGCUUCAAUCCUUGGCCUCAGGAAUUUCUUCAGGCUUCGGGCAUUGCUCUCCCUCCCUCUUCCGCUCAGACACCCCCCCCCACUCCCCCUCCCCCGCCAAAAUAGUGGAAUGCUACAGAUACAUAAGCUGGAGUGACAGUGGUCCAGCUUUUAAGCAGAAAUCAAGAAAUAUGUGUGUCUGUGGGUUGGGAAGGAAGGGAAAAAGGGAAGAUGGUGGCUCUGGGAUGAAUGCUAGUCUCUCCAAAGGCAGGGGCCAGGGAAGGGACUCAUGUGGGAGGUGAUGAAAUCAUCUUUCCCAAAGUCCAGGAGUAUCUAUCUAUCUCUUCAUUUACCACGCCCCCAACCUUCCUAGCCAUGCAUCCUUCCUUGGUCAGGGCCCUGCUCCACCAGCUCCACUAGGGUCCCCCAGGGACCCAGGGAGGGUCAGCCAAUUACGGUUUUGUAUUCUAAGAUCUGGAGGGAUGGAGUUCCUGCCAUGGUCCAGCAGGUUACAAGCACAACUAGUAAUCCAUGAGGAUUCGGGUUCAAUCCCUGGCCUUUCUCAGUGGAUUAAGGAUCUAGUGUUAACUCAAGCUGUGGUGCAGGUCACAGAUGAAGCUUGGAUCUGAUGUUGCUGUGGCUGUGGUGUAGGCAGGCAGCUGUAGCUCCAGUUCAACCCCUAGCCUGGGAACCUCCAUAUGCCGCAGCUAUGGUCCUUAAAAAAAAAAAAAAAAAAAAAAAAAAAAUCUGGAGGGGAAUAUUGGACAUCACUAAAUUAAAUUCCACCGUGACACUUUUUUGGGGCCUCCCCCCCAAAGAAUGUGGAAGUUCCCAGGCUAGGAAUCAAACCCGGACCACAGCAAGUGACAACAUUGGAUCCUUAAUGUACUGUGCCACAAGAGAAAUCCCUCACUGUGUCAUUUUAUCUGUGAGGGAACUGAGACCCAGAAAGGAAGAUCUAUUCUAGUCCUGCCUCUGCAACUAAGGUUCUGUGAAGCCUUAGGCAAGUCACUUUCCCUCUCUGAGCCUGCUGUUUACUUAUCUGUAAAACUGGGGCUUGGCUUGCAGUGUUGAGAUGUCUAAGCACCCUUCAACUCCCACCUCCGCUGUAUUAAAAUCAUAGUUCCAGAGUUCCCAUUGUGGCUUGGAAGAUUACAAACCUGUCUAGUAUCCAUCCAUGAGGAUGAGGGUUCGAUCCCUGGCUUCUCUCAGUGGGUUAAGGAUCAGGGGUUGCCGCAAGCUGAGGCAUAGGUCGCAGAAGCUGCUCGCAUCUGACCUUGCUAUGGCUGUGGUGUAGGCUGCAGUGAUGAUUCAACCCCUAGCCUGGGAACGUCCAUAUGCCACAGGUUUGGCCCUGAAAAAUAAUAGUAAUUUUUUAGAAAUAAAAAUAAAA
rnacentral:lncRNA from 1 species